AUUGAACGCUGGCGGCAGGCCUAACACAUGCAAGUCGAGCGGAUGAAUGUUGCUUGCUCCUGGUUUCAGCGUCGGACUGGUGUGUAAUUCCUAGGAAUCUGCCUGUUUUUUUUUGAUAACGUCCUGUAACGGGCUCUAAUACCGCAUACGUCCUGCUUGUGAAAGUUGUUGUUCUUCUGACCUCUCGCUUUCUUAUUUUCCUAGGUCGGAUUAGCUAGUUGGUGUGGUAAAGGCCUACCAAGGCUACGAUCCGUAACUGGUCUGAGAGGAUGAUCAGUCACACGGGAAGUGAGACACGGAACAGACGACUACGGGAGGAAGCAGUGGGGAAUAUUGGACAAUGGGCGAAAGCAUGAUAAAGCAAAGCCGAGUGUGAGAAGAAGGUCUUCGGAUUGUAAAGAACGUUAAGUUGGGAGGAAGGGAAGUAAGAUAAUACAUUGAUGUAAUGACGUUAAAAAAAGAAUAAGCAACGGCUAACUACGUG
rnacentral:rRNA from 1 species